AUCGAACGCUGGCGGCAUGCCUAACACAUGCAAGUCGAGCGAGCGGCGGACGGGUGAGUAAUGUCUGGGAAACCGUCUGUUGGCUGGCGAUCACUACUGGAAACGGUUGCUAAUACCGCAUACCAUCAGAUGUGCCUAGAUGGGAUUGGCUAGUGGGUGGGGUAACGGCUCACCUAGGCCACGAUCCCUAGCCGGUCUGAGAGGGUGAUCAGCCACACUGGAACGGAGACACGGUCCAGACUCCUACGGGAGGCAGCAGUAGGGAAUAUUGGGCAAUGGGCGCAAGCCUGAUGCAGCAAUGCCGCGUGAGUGAAGAAGGCCUUCGGGUUGUAAAACACUGUCGGCAGGGAAGCGUUAUCCACAGAAGAAGCAACGGCUAACUCCGUGCCAGCAGCCGCGGUAAUUC
rnacentral:rRNA from 1 species